rnacentral:rRNA from 1 species
GUACACGCUGUGACUAGCAUAUCAAUAAGCGGAGGAAAAGAAACUAACAAGGAUUCCCUUAGUAACGGCGAGUGAAGCGGGAAGAGCUCAAAUUUGAAAUCCUCAAGGUUUUACCUUGACGAAUUGUAGUUUAAAGAAGUGUUUUCUGUUACGAUCGUAAUAUAAGUUCUUUGGAAUAGGACAUCACAGAGGGUGAGAAUCCCGUCUAUGAUUGCGAUUUGUAGCUUUGUGAUACACUUUCAAAGAGUCGGGUUGUUUGGGAAUGCAGCCCAAAACGGGAGGUAAAUUUCUUCUAAGGCUAAAUAUUGGCGAGAGACCGAUAGCGAACAAGUACCGUGAGGGAAAGAUGAAAAGAACUUUGAAAAGAGAGUUAAAUAGUACGUGAAAUUGUCAAAAGGGAAGCGUUUAACACCAGUGUUGUUUUCUGAAAAUCAACCUCUGUUAGCUUUAUGCAUGUUUGUUUAGACCUAAUCAGCUAUCUUUCAUGUUCUAUUGUUUGCAGUGGUGCACUUUUCAGUUUACAGGUCAACAUCAGUUUUUUUUACCGUAAAAAAGUUAAAGAAAGGUAGCUCAUGGCUCCGGUCGUGAGUGUUAUAGUCUUUUUCCUAUGCGGUAGGAGAGACUGAGGUCUGCAGUGUAGGCUAUUUGGCUAGAUACUCAGGUGCUAUGUGAUACCAUUUCAUAAACAACUUGUUGAUUAUGUUUUGUCCAUUGCAUACUCGCUUGUACUAUCAUACCUACGCUUAGGAUGUUGAGUAGCGACAUACGCAC